rnacentral:rRNA from 1 species
UACGUAGGUGGCAAGCGUUGUCCGGAUUUACUGGGCGUAAAGAGCGCGCAGGCGGUCGUCCAAGUCGCGUGUGAAAGCCCCCGGCUCAACUGGGGAGGGUCACGCGAUACUGAUCGACUCGAAGGCAGGAGAGGGUAGUGGAAUUCCCGGUGUAGUGGUGAAAUGCGUAGAUAUUGGGAAGAACACCAGUGGCGAAGGCGGCUAACUGGUCCAGAUCUGACGCUGAGGUGCGAAAGCGUGGGGAGCAAACAGG